rnacentral:rRNA from 1 species
GUGAGGAAUAUUGGUCAAUGGACGAGAGUCUGAACCAGCCAAGUCGCGUGAAGGAAGACGGUUCUAUGAAUUGUAAACUUCUUUUGUGCAGGAAUAAAGUGGGUUACGUGUAACCUUUUGUAUGUACUGUACGAAUAAGGAUCGGCUAACUCCGUGCCAGCAGCCGCGGUAAUACGGAGGAUCCGAGCGUUAUCCGGAUUUAUUGGGUUUAAAGGGUGCGUAGGUGGAUUGAUAAGUCAGCGGUGAAAGUUUGCAGCUUAACUGUAAAAUUGCCGUUGAAACUGUCGGUCUUGAGUGCAAAUAAGGUAGGCGGAAUGUGUUGUGUAGCGGUGAAAUGCUUAGAUAUAACACAGAACUCCGAUUGCGAAGGCAGCUUACUGGGAUGCAACUGACACUGAUGCACGAAAGCGUGGGUAUCAAACAGGAUUAGAAACCCGGGUAGUCC